rnacentral:tRNA from 1 species
GUGGCUGUAGCUCAGUGGCAGAGCGGUUGCCUAGCAAGCAUGAGGCACUGGGUUUGAUCCCAGAACUACA